UACACAAGACCGGCGACGAAACUGUG
rnacentral:sRNA from 1 species